rnacentral:rRNA from 1 species
UUUAACUGAGCGUUCAGUUACUUGACGUAGACCCGAAACCGGGCGACCUACCCAUGAGCAGGAUGAAGCGAAAGUAAAAUUUCGUGGAGGUCCGAACCCACGAGCGUUGAAAAGCUCGGGGAUGACUUGUGGGUAGCGGUGAAAUUCCAAUCGAGCCCGGAGAUAGCUGGUUCUCCCCGAAAUAGCUUUAGGGCUAGCCUCAAGGUGAGAGAUACGGAGGUAGAGCACUGAAUGUCCUAGGGGGUAUUGCACCUACCGAAGACUAUCAAACUCCGAAUGCCGUCAUCUUAUACUUGGGAGUCAGACUGUGGGUGAUAAGAUUCAUAGUCGAAAGGGCAACAGCCCAGAUCGUCAGCUAAGGUCCCUAAAUGUAAGUUAAGUGGUAAAGGAUGUGGGAUUGCACAGACAACCAGGAUGUUGGCUUAGAAGCAGCCACUCAUUCAAAGAGUGCGUAAUAGCUCACUGGUCGAGUGAUCCUGCGCCGAAGAUUUCCGGGGCUAAAACUUACUACCGAAGCUACGGCAUCAGUAAUGAUGGGUAGGGGAGCUUCCCAUACGGGUUGAAGCAUGACCGUAAGGACAUGUGGACAGUAUGGGAGUGAGAAUGUUGGCAUGAGUAGCGAGAUGUGGGUGAGAAUCCCACAGGCCGUAAACCCAAGGUUUCCAGGGGAAGGUUCGUCCGCCCUGGGUUAGUCGGGACCUAAGCUGAGGCCGAAAGGCGUAGGUGAUGGACAACAGGUUGAUAUUCCUGUACUACCGAUAACCGUUUGAGAGAAGGGAUGACACAGUAGGAUAAGCUAAGCACACUGUUGGUUAUGUGUGCCCAAGCAUUGAGGCAGUCAAAGUAGGCAAAUCCGCUUUGAUAAUGCUGGGAUGUGAUGGGGAGCGAAAUUUAGUAGCGAAGUAGCUGAUUUCACACUGUCAAGAAAAGUCUCUAUCGAGGUUAAAGGUACCCGUACCGCAAACCGACACAGGUGGGUGAGGAGAGUAUCCUAAGGCCAGCGAGAGAACUGU